GAUGAACGCUGGCGGCGUGCUUAACACAUGCAAGUCGAACGGACUAUUUUUCGGAAUAGUUAGUGGCGGACGGGUGAGUAACGCGUGGGUAACCUGCCUCACACUGGGGGAUAACAGUUAGAAAUAGCUGCUAAUACCGCAUAAGCGCACAGUUUCGCAUGAAACGGUGUGAAAAACUCCGGCGGUGUGAGAUGGACCCGCGUCUGAUUAGCUAGUUGGUGAGGUAACGGCUCACCAAGGCGACGAUCAGUAGCCGGCCUGAGAGGGUGAACGGCCACAUUGGGACUGAGACACGGCCCAA
rnacentral:rRNA from 1 species